rnacentral:tRNA from 1 species
UAGCUCAGUUGGUAGAGAAUCUGCUUGCAGUGCAGAAGACCCCAGGUUGAUUCCUGG